rnacentral:rRNA from 1 species
AUUGCCUCAGUAACGGCGAGUGAAGCGGCAAAGCUCAAAUUUGAAAUCUAGCACUUUCAGUGUUCGAGUUGUAAUUUGAAGAAGGUAACUUUGGUUUUGGCUCUUGUCUAUGUUCCUUGGAACAGGACGUCACAGAGGGUGAGAAUCCCGUGCGAUGAGAUGCCCAAUUCCAUGUAAAGUGCUUUCGAAGAGUCGAGUUGUUUGGGAAUGCAGCUCUAAGUGGGUGGUAAAUUCCAUCUAAAGCUAAAUAUUGGCGAGAGACCGAUAGCGAACAAGUACAGUGAUGGAAAGAUGAAAAGAACUUUGAAAAGAGAGUGAAAAAGUACGUGAAAUUGUUGAAAGGGAAGGGCUUGAGAUCAGACUUGGUAUUUUGCGUUCCCUUCCUUUUUGGUUGGGUUCCUCGCAGUUUACUGGGCCAGCAUCGGUUUGGAUGGUAGGAUAAUGACAUUGGAAUGUAGCUUUACUUCGGUGAAGUGUUAUAGACUUUGUUGAUACUGCCUAUCUAGACCGAGGACUGCGUCUUUGACUAGGAUGCUGGCGUAAUGAUCUUAAGCCGCCCGUCUUGAA